UGUGUGUGUCAGGAGGCAGGAAGAAGGAUCGUGAUAAGGACAACAGACCAGAGAUCUCCUCUCCGUCAGACUUUGAACACACCAUCCAUGUGGGCUUUGACUCCGUCACAGGAGAGUUCACAGGCAUGCCGGAGCAGUGGUCCAAACUGCUCCAGACGUCUAACAUCAGUAAAUCGGAGCAGAAGCAGAAUCCUCAGGCUGUUCUGGACAUUCUCAAGUUCUACGACUCCUCCACCGCAAAACAGAAAUACCUCUCCUUCUCAG